rnacentral:tRNA from 2 species
AUCUCUAUAGUUCAAUGGUUAGAACAAAAGUCUCUGAAACUUUAGAUACAAGUUCGAAUCUUGUUGGAGAUGCCA